rnacentral:rRNA from 1 species
UACGUAGGCAGCGAGCGUUGUUCGGAAUUACUGGGCGUAAAGAGUGUGUAGGCGGUGUUCCCCAGUCUGUUGUGAAAUCUCCCGGCUUAACUGGGAGGGUGCAGCGGAAACUAGAAUGCUAGAGGGUGGGAGAGGUAAGCGGAAUUCCUGGUGUAGCGGUGAAAUGCGUAGAUAUCAGGAGGAACACCUGUGGUGUAGACAGCUUUUACUGGACCACUUCUGACGCGAGACACGAAAGCGUGGGGUAGCAAACAGG